rnacentral:rRNA from 1 species
UACAGAGGUCUCAAGCGUUGUUCGGAAUCAUUGGGCGUAAAGCGCGUGUAGGCGGUCCGGUAAGUCCGCUGUGAAAGUCGGGGGCUCAACCCUCGGAUGCCGGUGGAUACUGUCGGGCUUGAGUACGGAAGAGGCGAGUGGAAUUCCUGGUGUAGCGGUGAAAUGCGCAGAUAUCAGGAGGAACACCAAUUGCGAAGGCAGCUCGCUGGGACGUUACUGACGCUGAGACGCGAAAGCGUGGGGAGCAAACAGG